CCACAUCUGCACUGACCACGUGCAUCAUGUUGCAAGAGGCAGCUCCACAGCUAUGAUGCCAUAACUCUCUAAAUCACUACAAUUUUAUUUUCUUCUGCAGCAGAUGGUGGUGGUUCUGUUCAGGAGUGACAGCUGGGCAGCUCUGAAAAGAAAGUGACUGAGAACUGAGCUGUUGGAUCUGAAAGCAACCAGUGCAGUUUAGAUCUGAACUGCUAGGAGGCAACAGUCAUUUAUACUGGGAGUCUUCCCCCUUCCCUGAACCACACUGCAAAGCAUUUCUCAAUCAUGAGCAAAAGUGCUGACCUUGAAGCUGCAAAAAUGAAAGUAUUCCCACUUCCUCUGUCCAAUGUAUUCAGUUUCUGGGGGUGUAGUGUGAAAAGCUGCAGUGGUGUGUGCUGUGGAAAGAUGACACAGUAGUGCUUGAUUUCUCUGGCACAGAAUCUCUCUAGUUCAGUACAGUGCUUCAGGUGAAGAUUACCUCUGGAACGCAUCUUGUCUCCUAUGUUGAUAUGUGCUCCUGAGCUGGUUAGUUUUUGUUGUAGGGCCUAGUGUGUAAUGAGGAACCAACCUACCCAUCAGCUCAAUGGUAAUCAUUUCUGUAGCUUUGAAUGUCUGUUUACUGAUGUGGAAGAAAGAGCGCGAUAUGUAGCCUGAAUCUCUUUUGGUCUUCAUUACAGUUUACAUGUGUUCUUUUUUCUUCCCCUUCUGAAGUUUUACAGGGAAAAAUUUGCCUUGCCUGAAAUCUAAGGUGACCCAACCUUAGUCAGUAUGUGCAGUGGCUGAUGGACCACGAGUUUGGGCAGUGUCAUGACAUCUGCACAAAGCUGAUGUAGAGCUGGGAUGUGCUACUUCUGUUUUGUUACCAGUGACCCUUACUCCAGAGUGAUAUGUAGCUGUUCUGUACUGCUUGUCUUCCAGAGUCUCAAGCAGCUGGCUGUAAAAACAACCUGGUCAUCUGAUCGUAGCUACUGUUCCCCUCUACAUCACUGUAUGAGGCCAUUGGCAAUGUACAAAAUGAGUGAACCUUCCAUUCUGGCCAGCUGUUUUGUAGCCUGAGAAUGCAGAGCCUGGAUGUGUGAAUUGCAGCCUUUUGGGGCUAAGUCGUAGCAUUUGGAGAGGCUUGUAAGAGUGAUCUUGGUCUGGAAUCAUUGGCUAGGCUUUGGAUCUAGUCAUAGGUAAAACAGGUAGUGUUAACUGGAACUGGGACAUCUUUGGGUGCCACGUAACCUGAAGUGGUAAGCAUUUCUAGUUCAAAUCCCAGAAGCUGGACAGAUCUCCCAAGGUGUUCCCUUUUCAGAGUAAGAAUUGUCCUUGCAUUUCACUUGCUACAAAGCUGGAUUUCUAAGGAAAACAAUAGGUUUUGUGGAAUAUAUCUUUGAGAGACCUCUUUGUUAGAGCUGUGUACUUGCAGCAUAUGUAAAGAUGUCCUAAGGGAACAGUCUGGGUGUUAAGCAAGCCUUUUGAUGAGAGCAUUUUAUUUCUUGUUAACACAGGUUCAGUAUGUGUGUGUGAACAAAAUGCAGUUGUAAAUGCAAAGACUGCAUCUUUUCAGAGUUAGGCUGGCUCUUCUGUUUUCAUCUGAGGCCUCGUGACAAACAUCUAAAUCUUGUCCCAGUCCGAAGUGAGGACUUGUCCGUGUGUUGAUUCCAAGCAGCAAAAUGUCCUGUGGUGACCCAGGGCUGCUUUCUGUCCCCAGACACACACACGAGGGACUGUUGCUGGUUAAGGAGCUCCACUGGGCUCAGGUGGAGCUGCCUGUGGAAUGAGUGGUUUGUCCUCCGUGACAAUGACCAAAACCCAAUUAAUCGCUCACUGGUAGGAGGCUGGACUACUCAUUAUUCAAAGCACUUAAUGUAUCAUAAUGUAUGUAUUUCUAAUCUACGUUGGUUCAACUGUAUUUUAUAAAAUUGAUGUACUAAACUAUUUGAGAAUAACUACCUUGAUUACUUGGAGAAUCGAAAUGUGAUGUACAUAGAUAAAAAUACAAAUAAAGUGACU
rnacentral:lncRNA from 7 species